rnacentral:rRNA from 1 species
GGGCCCGCACAAGCGGUGGAGCAUGUGGUUUAAUUCGAUGCAACGCGAAGAACCUUACCAAGCCUUGACAUCCUCGGAACUUUCCAGAAAUGGAUUGGUGCCUUCGGGAACCGAGUGACAGGUGCUGCAUGGCUGUCGUCAGCUCGUGUCGUGAGAUGUUGGGUUAAGUCCCGUAACGAGCGCAACCCUUGUCCUUAGUUGCCAGCACUUCGGGUGGGAACUCUAAGGAGACUGCCGGUGCAAACCGUGAGGAAGGUGGGGAUGACGUCAAAUCAUCACGGCCCUUACGUCCUGGGCUACACACGUGCUACAAUGGCCGGUACAGAGAGCAGCCACUACGCGAGUAGGCGCGAAUCUUCAAAGCCGGUCUCAGUUCGGAUAGGAGUCUGCAACUCGACUCCUUGAAGUUGGAGUC